rnacentral:rRNA from 1 species
AGAGUUUGAUCAUGGCUCAGAACGAACGCUGGCGGCAUGCCUAACACAUGCAAGUCGAACGCAGGGUCUUGGUUCGCCGGGGCCCUGAGUGGCGCACGGGUGAGUAGCGCGUGGGAACCUGCCCUGUUGUGGGGGAUAACCGAGGGAAACUUCGGCUAAUACCGCAUGCGCCGGGAGCGAUCCCGGGAAAGAUUUUAUCGCAGCAGGAGGGGCCCGCGUCGGAUUAGCUAGUUGGUGGGGUAACGGCCUACCAAGGCAGCGAUCCGUAGCUGGUCUGAGAGGAUGAUCAGCCACACUGGGACUGAGACACGGCCCAGACUCCUACGGGAGGCAGCAGUGGGGAAUAUUGGACAAUGGGCGCAAGCCUGAUCCAGCAAUGCCGCGUGAGUGAUGAAGGCCUUAGGGUUGUAAAGCUCUUUCGCCCGCGACGAUGAUGACGGUAGCGGGAGAAGAAGCCCCGGCUAACUUCGUGCCAGCAGCCGCGGUAAUACGAAGGGGGCGAGCGUUGUUCGGAUUUACUGGGCGUAAAGGGCGCGUAGGCGGCGCCGGAAGUCGCGUGUGAAAGCCCCGGGCUCAACCUGGGAGGUGCGCGCGAGACUGUGGUGCUGGAGUUCGGGAGAGGAGCGUGGAAUUCCCAGUGUAGAGGUGAAAUUCGUAGAUAUUGGGAAGAACACCGGUGGCGAAGGCGGCGCUCUGGACCGAGACUGACGCUGAGGCGCGAAGGCGUGGGGAGCAAACAGGAUUAGAUACCCUAGUAGUCC